rnacentral:rRNA from 1 species
GAAUUGUAGUUUAUAGAAGCGUUUUCGGUGGCAGCCUGGGUAUAAAUCCUUUGGAAUAGGGUAUCAUAGAGGGUGAGAAUCCCGUCUUUGACUCAGUGCAUGCUACUAUGUGAUACGUUUUCAAAGAGUCGAGUUGUUUGGGAAUGCAGCUCAAAAUGGGUGGUAAAUUUCAUCUAAAGCUAAAUAUUGGCGAGAGACCGAUAGCGAACAAGUACCGUGAGGGAAAGAUGAAAAGAACUUUGAAAAGAGAGUUAAACAGUGCGUGAAAUUGUUGAAAGGGAAACGCUUGACACCAGUCAUGCGAGUGGAAAAUCAGUCUUUUGCAGUGGGGAGUUGUGGGCGUUCAGACCGCAAGGCUGGCGUUUGCUUCAUCUUUGUUGUAAGUGAUGCACUUUUUCAUUUGCAGGUCAACAUCAGUUUGCUUUGCUGGACAAAACCCCAAGGGAAGGUGGCAGCUUAGGCUGUGUUAUAGCCCUGGGGCGAUACAGUGGAGUGGACUGAGGUUUUCGCAGUGUGUGCUCUCUGGGCAAGGCUGACUGGGUGCUAUGGGAUCGUUCGGCGUACAAUGCAUGCAUUUUGCGCCGUGUCUCUUUCAUACUCGCUCAACUCGGCUCUUCCACACUUAGGAUGUUGACUUAAUGGUUUUAAUCGACCCGUCUUGAAACACGGACCAAGGAGUCUAACAUAUAUGCAAGUGUUUGGGUGGCAAACCCAUGCGCGUAAUGAAAGUGAACGUAGGUGCCAUCCGCAAGGUGCAGCAUCGACCGAUCUUGAUAUUUUUGGAUAGAUUUGAGUAAGAGCAUAUAUGCUGGGACCCGAAA